rnacentral:rRNA from 1 species
UACGGGGGGGCAAGCGUUGUUCGGAAUUAUUGGGCGUAAAGAGCUACGUAGGCGGCUUGUCACGUCGGGUGUGAAAGCCCGGGGCUUAACCCCGGGUCUGCAUUCGAUAACGGGCAGGCUAGAGUGUGGUAGGGGAGAUCGGAAUUCCUGGUGUAGCGGUGAAAAUUGCGUAGAUAUCUGGAAGGAAUACCGGUGGCGAAGGCGGCAUCCUGGACCGGCAUUGACGCUGAGGAGCGAAAGCUAGGGG